GUACACUCUGAACAUCAUGGCUUUAGUUCUUAGGUUUGAUUUUACAGAGGUAUGCCAUUACAUUUGUCAAGUUAUUUGAACAGACAUGCAUGAUUAUUGUGUGUAUAUUAUUAUUAUUAUUUUUCAGGAUGACAUGAUCAGGAGGUGGUGGUGUUCUGUUCUCCUGGACAGCUUCACUCCGCAAAUAGCUCAACCACUGAGGGGAGGAACUUCACCAUUCAAAAGACAGUGUCUUCAGGCAGAGUCCAGCAAAGCAGCUUCCCCUGGAAAUCCUCAGGGAAGUUAUUUUGUCAGCGGGUGACUCUGCAUAUUUGACACUUUCUCUGGUUUGCAGAUGGUUUAGGGAUAUGGUCACUCAAGAAGUUUUCCGGAAAGCGGCACACUUUGCCUGGCUAGACAUUGUGGCCAACUGGAAGAAUUGUCCUCCUGUCUACCAGAAUGAGUUCAGAUGAAUGUACAGCAUCAGGGAAUGCUUGCAGUGCAGAGCCCUUUUCAAGUUUAACCCACCAGGGUACAGGGAAGAGGCCGGCGUGGUGAUCUUCUGGGCUUUUGUUUACACAGGAUUUUUUUCCAAGGACUGUUUUUUUUUUUUUUUUUUGCGGCAUGAAACACCUUUGUGUGUUCAUUGAAGGGAAAUAGAGAAUGAACUGAGAUCAACUGGUUUAAUGUAUUAAUUGAUGUCAUUUAAAGUUAAACUU